rnacentral:tRNA from 1 species
GGAGUUGUAGCUCAGUGGUAGAGUGCUUGCCUUGCACAUGUGAGGCACUGGGUUCAAUCCCCAGCACCA